AUUGAACACUGGCGGCAGGCUUAAUACAUGCAAGUCGAGGGGCAGCACGGGUAGCAAUACUUGGUGGCGACCGGCGCACGGGUGCGUAACACGUAUACAAUCUACCUUAAACAGGGGGAUAGCCUUUCGAAAGAGAGCUUAAUACCCCGUAACAAAUUGAGUGGCAUCACUUGAUUUUGAAAGUUGCGACGGUUUAAGAUGAGUAUGCGUCUGAUUAGCUAGUUGGUGGUGUAAUGGACCACCAAGGCGACGAUCAGUAGGGGAUCUGAGAGGACUACCCCCCACACUGGUACUGAGACACGGACCAGACUCCUACGGGAGGCAGCAGUAAGGAAUAUUGGUCAAUGGAGGCAACUCUGAACCAGCCAUGCCGCGUGCAGGAAGACGGCCCUAUGGGUUGUAAACUGCUUUUGUACCAGAGAAAACCUACUCACGUGUGAGUAGCUGAUAGUAUGGUAAGAAUAAGCAUCGGCUAACUUCGUGCCAGCCGCCGCCGUAACAC
rnacentral:rRNA from 1 species